GAUGAAGAACGUAUCGAAAUGCGAUAAGUAAUGUGAAUUGCAGAAUUCAGUGAAUCAUCGAAUCUUUGAACGCACAUUGCGCCCGCCAGCAUUCUGGCGGGCAUGCCUGUUCGAGCGUCAUUUCAACCCUCGAGCCCCCCCGGGGGCCUCGGUGUUGGGGGACGGCACACCAGCCGCCCCCGAAAUGCAGUGGCGACCUCGCCGCAGCCUCCCCUGCGUAGUAGCACACACCUCGCACCGGAGCGCGGAGACGGUCACGCCGUAAAACGCCCAACUUCUUAGAGUUGACCUCGGAUCAGGUAGGAAUACCCGCUGAACUUAAGCAUAUCAAUAAGCGGAGGA
rnacentral:misc_RNA from 1 species